rnacentral:rRNA from 1 species
GCCUGGGAGCUGUGAGGCGAAGAAGGCCGUGGUAAGCUGCGAAAAGCCGGGAGGAGAAGCACACAUUCCGUGAUUCCCGGAUAGCCGAAUGGGGUAACCCGGCGACAGAGAUGUCGUCAUUACGAUACCUGAAUAAAAUAGGGUAGUAAAGCCAGACUAAGUGAAGUGAACCAUCUAAGUAACUUAAGGAAAAGAAAUCAAGAAGAGGAGCGAUCCUCCGGAGAUUCCGAAAGUAGCGGCGAGCGAAAUCGGAGGAGCCCAAACCCGGUUAAACGGGGGUUGUAGGGCCGCAUGGGGAUGACCCGAAGAGUUGGUGAGAAAACUUAUUUAUAGUGGAAAGGUUUGGGAAGGCCUGACAGAGAGGGUGAAAUCCCCGUACACGAAAUGAAUAAGACUCUUUGAUGCGGUACCUGAGUACGGCGGGGCACGAGGAACCUUGCCGGAAGCAGGGUCGACCACGAUCCAAGGCUAAAUACUCCACAGCUACCGAUAGUGCAGCAGUACCGUGAGGGAAAGGCGAAAAGAACCCCUGCAAGGGGAGUGAAAUAGAACCUGAAACCAUAAACUAACAAGAUGUUACGGCGCGAAAGCGUUGUAGCGUGCCUUUUGUAGAAUGAACCUGCGAGUUAUCUUAUGCAGCGAGGUUAAGGGAUGGGAGUCCCGGAGCCUGAGGGAAACCGAGUCUUAACAGGGCGAAAUAAAGUUGCAUGAGGUAGACCCGAAGCCAAGGUGAUCUAGUCAUGAGCAGGUUGAAGCAAGGGUAAAACCUUGUGGAGGACCGAACUAUAAUCUGUUAAAAAAGGUAUGGAUGACUUGUGACUCGGAGUGAAAGGCUAAACAAACCUGGAAAUAGCUGGCUCUCCCCGAAAUGCCUUUAGGGACAGCCUCAUGCAAAGCGGAAGGAGGUAAAGCACCGGAUGGGAUAGGGGGCGUCACAGUCUACCGACACCAAUCGAACUCAGAAUGCCAUCCGCCAACGCAUGGGAGUGAGACUGUGUGCUCCAAGGUUCAUAGUCGAGAGGGAAACAGCCCGGACCGACGGCAAAGGUCCCGAAAUAACGCUCAGUGUGAAAUGAGGUGCGUCUGCACAGACAGCCAGGAGGUUGGCUUAGAAGCAGCCAUUCCUUAAAAGAGUGCGUAAUAGCUCACUGGUCGAGCAUACAGGCGCAGAUAAUGUAACGGGGCUAAGCGGUAUACCGAAGUUUUGGAUCUAACACGUUUUGUGUUAGGUGGUAGGGGAGCAUUCCAUGAGCUGAAGAAGCAAUACCCGUGAGGGGUUGUGGAGGUAGUGGAAGAGAGAAUGCAGGCAUAAGUAACGCAAAGACGGGUGAGAUUCCCGUCCGCCGAAAACCUAAGGUUUCCUGGGUAAAGGCAAUCUGCCCAGGGUAAGUCGGCCCCUAAGGCGAGGACGAAAGUCGUAGUCGAUGGGAAAUCGGUUCAAAAUCCGAUACCUUUAUCAGUUUCGAGGGCAAGACGCAUGAGGUGAAACCCGGCCGGAGAAUGGUAGUUCCGGUCGAAGCAACGAGCUUUUGAGAGCGACAGGCAAAUCCGUCGUUUGAGGUAAGUUGUGACAGCCAACGGAGAGAAAGUCGAAGUGAAGCGGGUGUAAUCAAGGUGCCGGGAAAUAUUGUCUCAGGCUAGGCUGAUAAAGACCGUACCGUAAACCGACACAGGUAGGAAGGAUGAGAAAUCUAAGGCGCACGAGAGAACUCGCGUUAAGGAACUCGGCAAAAUGCACACGUAACUUCGGAAGAAGUGUGGCCCGAUUCGGUAAAAGAAGAGGGUGGCACAGAGCAGGCCCAGGCGACUGUUUAUCAAAAACACAGCCAUCUGCUAAUCAGCAAUGAAACGUAUAGGUGGUGACACCUGCCCGGUGCCGGAAGGUUAAGAGGAGAUGUGAGGGGAGCCCCAAAGCAUUGAAUUGAAGCCCCGGUAAACGGCGGCCGUAACUAUAACGGUCCUAAGGUAGCGAAAUUCCUUGUCGGGUAAGUUCCGACCCGCACGAAUGGC